GCAGAGUUCGGGUUUUACAAAUAUGAAAACCUCAAAAAACUUAUGGAGAGCCCUAAUCAAGCAGAACAGGUACCACAGUGCAGUUCCAGCUCAGUAAUCAUUAAGUCCAGCCACUUCUGCCUCUUCCAGAUUGAAGAAGUUCCAAUUCUGCCUGCUCAAAAAGCCUUACAGGGCUUGAAAUAGAUUAAAGCUCUGCCAAACUCGAACGUUGGUAUCGAUUUACAGUUGAAACUUGACAAUUGAAGGUGUUGAUAAUCCAGCUGAAACUUGACAAUUGAAGGUGUUGAUAAUCCAGUCCAGCACAGGCAUACCCAGUCCAGCCCAUAUCAGAA
rnacentral:lncRNA from 1 species